UACGGAGGGUGCAAACGUUGCUCGGAAUUAUUGGGCGUAAAGCGCACGUAGGUGGUCUACUAAGUCUGAUGUGAAAGCCCCGGGCUCAACCCGGGAAGUGCAUCGGAAACUGGCAGGCUUGAGUAUGGAAGAGGGUCGCGGAAUUCCCGGUGUAGAGGUGAAAUUCGUAGAUAUCGGGAGGAACACCAGUGGCGAAGGCGGCGACCUGGGCCAAUACUGACACUGAGGUGCGAAAGCGUGGGGAGCAAACAGG
rnacentral:rRNA from 1 species